rnacentral:lncRNA from 1 species
AUAUUGUUAAAAUGUGAUUAGCAGAUCCCAACUAGUUUGGGAUUAAGACUGAGUUGAGUUGUAUAUUGUUAAAAUGAGAUGGGACUAUAUGUUGUUUUAAAAAAAGUAUAUUAUCAUUUUGACUUUUGUUUUAAUGGAUGAAAUCAAGGUUUUCGGAGCUAGAAUCGGGACUCGUGCCUGCUGGCUGGCGGUAUAAGUUGGUAUGCCUUUGUAUCAGACCGGAUCGGUGCAAACCGACAUGGCAGAUAAGGGAAGAGGGAGAAGAAAUAAAGGAAGAGAGAGGGGGGAGAAGGAGAGGAAGAGAGGGAGAGGGAGAGAGGAGG